GGGCAACUUGAGUGAUGAGUGAGUCACCUUUCAUUAAGGGUUACGGGGUCUAGCCUUUGAGACUGCAGGAGUGACGGGCGUGGACAAUGGCGAAAAAUGUUGUGGUAGGAAGACAUUCCUGACAGCGACAAACCCAACACGUGCAUAUGAAGAGAACUGUGACGAGAAAGAUAAUGGAAGAGAGUACAAUGACAAAGAACCACAAACCACAAUCAACAACAUCAAAGAAGAUGUACAAAGUUCAUCAAUGUUGAACGAGAAGAAGACCGUGGAAGAAAAAGAAUGACAAACAUCAUAAUCACUCCUUAAUUAGGGAUACAACAAAUUUUUUCCUAAUUUUUUUAUUUUAAGUAAACGAAAAUACAUGUCACUAUCCACUUUAACGAGCCACAUCAUUUAAAAAAGCUCCAUCAACAUGCCAUGUCAACAUAUAAUGUUCAAACAAUUUAAUGACAGGGGUCUAAUUGUUUAAAAUUUUCAAAAGUAGGGAUCCAAAUUGAGACAAAAAAAAUUGAAGGACGAAUUUGAGACUUCACACCAAAAAUAGGGAUCUCAG
rnacentral:lncRNA from 1 species